rnacentral:rRNA from 1 species
CACGUAGUUAGCCGGGGCUUCUUACUCAGGUACCGUCAUUUUCUUCCCUGCUGAUAGAGCUUUACAUCACGAAUGACUUCUUCACUCACGCGGCGUUGCUGCAUCAGGGUUUCCCCCAUUGUGCAGUAUUCCCCACUGCUGCCUCCCGUAGGAGUUUGGGCCGUGUCUCAGUCCCAAUGUGGCCGUUCACCCUCUCAGGCCGGCUACUGAUCGUCGCCUUGGUGGGCUUCUACCCCGCCAACCAGCUAAUCAGACGCGGAUCCAUCUUACACCACCGGAGUUUUUCACACUGAGCCAUGCGGCUCCGUGCGCUUAUGCGGUAUUAGCACCUAUUUCUAAGUGUUAUCCCCCAGUGCAAGGCAGGUUAUCCACGCGUUACUCACCCGUCCGCCACUAAGUUACGAAUCACUAGGUUUCAUCGUAACUCCGUUCGACUUGCAUGUGUUAGGCACGCCGCCAGCGUUCAUCCUGAGCCAGGAUCAAACUCU